GAUGAACGCUGGCGGCGUGCCUAAUACAUGCAAGUCGAGCGAACGGACGAGAAGCUUGCUUCUCUGAUGUUAGCGGCGGACGGGUGAGUCACACGUGGAUAACCUACCUAUAAGACUGGGAUAACUUCGGGAAACCGGCGCUAAUACCGGAUGAUAUUUUGAACCGCAUGGUUCAAAAGUGAAAGACGGUCUUGCUGUCACUUAUAGAUGGAUCCGCGCUGCAUUAGCUAGUUGGUAAGGUACCGGCUUACCAAGGCAACGAUGCAUAGCCGACCUGAGAGGGUGAUCGGCCACACGGGAACUGAGACACGGUCCAGACUCCUACGGGAGGCAGCAGUAGGGAAUCUGCCGCAGUGGGCGAAAGCCUGACGGAGCAACGCCGCGUGAGUGAUGAAGGUCUUCGGAUCGUAAAACUCUGUUAUUAGGGAAGAACAUAUGUGUAAGUAACUGUGCACAUCGUGACGGUACCUAAUCAGAAAGCCACGGCUAACUACGUG
rnacentral:rRNA from 1 species